rnacentral:rRNA from 2 species
UUGACCUCGGAUCAGGUAGGAGU